rnacentral:rRNA from 1 species
GGGGAAUAUUGGGCAAUGGGGGGAACCCUGACCCAGCAACGCCGCGUGGAGGAAGAAGGUUUUCGGAUCGUAAACUCCUGUCCUUGGAGACGAGUAGAAGACGGUAUCCAAGGAGGAAGCCCCGGCUAACUACGUGCCAGCAGCCGCGGUAAUACGUAGGGGGCAAGCGUUGUCCGGAAUAAUUGGGCGCAAAGGGCGCGUAGGCGGCUCGGUAAGUCUGGAGUGAAAGUCCUGCUUUUAAGGUGGGAAUUGCUUUGGAUACUGUCGGGCUUGAGUGCAGGAGAGGUUAGUGGAAUUCCCGGUGUAGCGGUGAAAUGCGUAGAGAUUGGGAGGAACACCAGUGGCGAAGGCGACUAACUGGACUGUAACUGACGCUGAGGCGCGAAAGUGUGGGGAGCAAAC